rnacentral:pre_miRNA from 1 species
GUUGUGGGGAAUGUUGUUUGGAUCGAAGAUAUCAUAUGCAACACCACACACAAGUUUAUAUACUAAGAUGAUACGAUGAUUGUGUACUAAUUAAUGUACAUGCAUAUAUAUGGUAUCGUCGGACCAGGCUUCAUCCCCCUCAAC